UUCUGUAAGAGCACCAGGUGCAGGGCCAACACCCUGGUGGCUGGAAAACCACAAGCAGCAGGCAGGGGUGGCUUUGCUUCUAGCUGCUCUGUGAGGAGGUUGGUGUGCUGCCCGGCCUGGGAUGACUGCACUCCCAAGACCGCAGGCUUCUCCUCGGGGAGCGCUUCAGCACUAAAUAAACCAGAUCCUGACUUCUUGAUCAUAGUUCGAUAUCUGAUGCCAUCACAUCUUCUGGGAAGGCGUACCCAAGUAUCGACAUGGUUUCCAGGAAGUUGCAAAGGCUUUACAGGGAGGUCCAUGCACCGUUCACCCAUUUUCCCCUAUGGCUGCACCUUGCCUUACCCCAGAGCAACAGCAAACGGGCGACUGAGAUUGGGGACAUGUGGAUAUAGUUCCAUGGUGUUUUUAAUUGCUCUAACUGCAACAAGAUACAUUAAAUGGAAACCAGGAAGAGCAAAGACAGGACUGAGUCCUAACAAUGAUAAAAGCAUCUCUUCGGAUGGUGGCUUCCAAGGGUCAGGAAGCUGGCUUCUGGGACCACUACCAUGGAAGAGAGAGGAAUGAAGAAAGAGGAGGCAGAGAGAGGGCAAGCUGUGAUGUUGGCCGCAUGGGGAGCCCAUCAGAACUGUCUUGGUGACUUUGGUCCCUGCCUCCCUCAUUCAUUGGAUGUGUGCCUCCUUGGAUAGGAUGUGUUCUUGAUUGGAUGGCUCUUUGCCUCUGAUGCCAUCCCUGAGGGGCUUUCAUCUGAAGGCUAUCUGCUGACUGCACUCCCAGCAGAUGGAGCAACAGCUCUUCUAUGAAGGAGGCUCUGGGUGACACAAUUUUUUAACUGGCUAUGCUUAUCACAGUUUUUUAACUGGCUUUUUAUAUUUAUAGGGGGGUUAUUUACAAGUGUAUAUUUAACCUUUGUUCAGCUACCUUACAGAAGUCCCUUAAACUGUAAUGAACUUUUUAUUUAUUCAGGGAGAUGUAAUUGUACACACAUUAAUUAAUGACAACUUUGCCCGCUUGUUUACAAGAGUAAUACCUCCCAUUGCAGUUUCUUAUGUUACUGCAUUAGCCAGAAUUUACCCGAAAAUAACCGUUUAUAAAAAUGGUUAUAUAGAGCCUGGGGGUGGUGUGGGAGAAGUGGGUGAAGGAUGUCAAAAGGUACUAACCUCCAGUUAUAAAAUAAAUAAUUCAUGGGGAUGUAAUGUUCAGCAAGGUGGAGAUAGUUGAUAACACUAUGUUGCGUACUUGCAAGUUGCUCAGGGAGUGAACUUGAAAAGUUCUCAUCACAAGAAAAAAAUUUUUUUGUAACUAUUUAAGGUGAUGGAUGGUGAUCAUUUUGAAAUGUAUAUAAAUAUCGAAUCACCUUGUACACCUACAACUAAUAUAAUAUUAUAUGUCAAUUAUACCUCAAUAAAAAUUAGU